UAAUAAUAAUAAUGAUGAUGAUGAUGAUGAUGAUAAUGAUAAUUAUUAUCAUUAUCAUUAUUAUUAUUAUCAUCAUCGUCAUCAUUAUCAUCAUCA
rnacentral:pre_miRNA from 1 species